AUGCUCCGCGUUCUGCUGUGAUCAAUAGAACAGAGGUCUUCGUCGCAACCCGUCCUCUACUACCACGCACCAUUCGACGCCCGCUGCUGCUCUGCCUCCAUCGUUUCAUUCGUGCUCCUCAUUCGUUCUGUUCAUUCCGCUGUUUCCUCUCGGUGACGACGGUUGCGUUUUCGGUCCGCUUCUUUGAAUUUACAGAAAUCUUUUUCAGUCUUAACAGUUUCUCACUAUCGGUAUUUAACAAUAGCUCUUUCUCUCUAUCGAAAGAGAAAUAAUCCAAGAGAAGCUGACGUGCGUUCUCAGUGAAAGAGAUAAGGGCUGCUUCAGAUAAGAAGAAGGAUACAAGAAAGAAGAUGAAGUGGUUGGUGUUAUUCGUCAUGACGAUUUUCUUCGUCAGCUUUGCGGUUGCAGAUGGUGAAAUCUGGGAAGAAGAUGAUCACGAGAUUCUUAUUCGAAACGAAAGGGGAGCCAAAAAUACUGGUAAGA